rnacentral:rRNA from 1 species
UACGAAGGUCCCAAGCGUUAUCCGGAUUUAUUGGGUUUAAAGGGUGCGUAGGCGGGCUAUUAAGUCAGUGGUGAAAGCCCCAGCUUAACUUGGGAACUGGCCAUUGAUACUGAUGGUCUUGAGUACAUUUGAGGUGGGCGGAAUGUGUCAUGUAGCGGUGAAAUGCUUAGAUAUGAACACAGAACACCGAUUGCGAAGGCAGCUCA